UUUUUUAAGGCUGUUCUGGAAUGACAUUUGUUAGGUUUUGUUUACUUCAAGGUCUGAUACAGAAACUGGAGUAAUUCUCAUUUAAUUAAUUAGAGUAUUUUAUUGUUCAUUCGUUUGCCACCCGGCUUUUGUUUUGGGUCCUUUAAAUUCGAGAUCAUUCAGUGCGGCGUUCUUUUUGUGACGAGAUCCUCUUGAUAGUGAUCGGACGGCCGUAUAAGGGCCUGGAGCCCGGCAUGCCACGUGCUGCCGUGGCGUUCCAUAUUUUGUGUGGUGCGUUCUGUCAGUCUGACUGGCAGAAACAUGCUAAGGGUGGGAGUGCUCCGUGGAGAUCCUCGGUCUGCAGUCUGCAGGUGUCCGGAGUCGGGAAGAAGUAAAGAAUUAGAGAAUUGCAGAAGUAGAUAAUUAAACAAGAACCUUUACAAUUUUGAUGUGCAAGGAAACUUCUUUGGCUUACUAGCGCAAGGUGUCUUUGGACCUUGUUUUCGUAUGGAAGGGUCAGCCCUGUCCACGUGGCGAGGGGGCGUCAGCACCGGAGUCCGGGGAGCAGCCGGCUCAUCCCUG